rnacentral:rRNA from 1 species
UACGGUGAAUACGUUCCCGGGUCUUGUACACACCGCCCGUCACACCACGAGAGUUUGUAACACCCGAAGCCGGUGGAGUAACCUUUUAGGAGCUAGCCGUCGAAGGUGGGAUAAAUGAUUGGGGUGAAGUCGUAACAAGGUAGCCGUAUCGGAAGGUGCGGCUGGAUCACCUCCUUU